rnacentral:tRNA from 1 species
GUUGGGAGAGCGUUAGACUGAAGAUCUAAAUGUCCCCGGUUCGUUCCCGGGUUCCAGCA